UCAAUAUUUUAAAUUCAUGGGCGACUGUACUUUGCAGCUUUUUUGCGUAACUUCUGUUGGCGCUUUGAUAACACUGGUUCUGAGGGAGUCGCAUGUUGUUGAUGUUGUUGUUGUUGCUGUUGCUGUUGCUGUUGAGGAGGCUGAUUUAGUGCUUGAUUUUUGAAAUUCUUUAAUUGUUGCAAUAACAUUUUUAAUAAAGGAGCGGCCUUGUAAACCACGAAUAUGGGAACCUAGAUGAAGGGUUAGU